UACGUAGGGGUCAAGCGUUGUCCGGAAUUAUUGGGCGUAAAGAGCGUGUAGGCGGCCCGAUAAGUCCGCUGUGAAAUCUCGAGGCUCAACUUCGAGCUGUCGGUGGAAACUAUCUGGCUAGAGUCCGGAAGAGGAGAAUGGAAUUCCUGGUGUAGCGGUGAAAUGCGCAGAUAUCAGGAAGAACACCCGUGGCGAAGGCGGUUCUCUGGGACGGUACUGACGCUGAGACGCGAAAGCUAGGGGAGCAAACGGG
rnacentral:rRNA from 1 species